rnacentral:misc_RNA from 1 species
AAGUCGUAACAAGGUUUCCGUAGGUGAACCUGCGGAAGGAUCAUUAAUGAAUUCUGAAAGGGGUUGUUGCUGGCCGUCAGCGGCAUGUGCACGCCCUGAUCAUUAUCCAUCUCACACACCUGUGCACACACUGUAGGUCGGUUUGUGGCUGGAGUGGGCACUCUGUGUCUGCUUUGGUUGUAGGCCUUCCUAUGUUUUAUUACAAACUACUUCAGUUUAAAGAAUGUCACUCUUGCGUCUAACGCAUUUAAAUACAACUUUCAGCAACGGAUCUCUUGGCUCUC